rnacentral:rRNA from 1 species
CCUUACACAUGCAAGUCGAACGGCAGCACGGGAGCAAUCCUGGUGGCGAGUGGCGAACGGGUGAGUAAUACAUCGGAACGUGCCCAAUCGUGGGGGAUAACGCAGCGAAAGCUGUGCUAAUACCGCAUAAGAUCUACGGAUGAAAGCAGGGGAUCGCAAGACCUUGCGCGAAUGGAGCGGCCGAUGGCAGAUUAGGUAGUUGGUGAGGUAAAGGCUCACCAAGCCUUCGAUCUGUAGCUGGUCUGAGAGGACGACCAGCCACACUGGGACUGAGACACGGCCCAGACUCUACGGGAGGCAGCAGUGGGGAAUUUUGGACAAUGGGCGAAAGCCUGAUCCAGCCAUGCCGCGUGCAGGAUGAAGGCUUCGGGUUGUAAACUGCUUUUGUACGGAACGAAACGGCCUUUUCUAAUAAAGAGGGCUAAUGACGGUACCGUAAGAAUAAGCACCGGCUAACUACGUGCCAGCAGCCGCGGUAAUACGUAGGGUGCAAGCGUUAAUCGGAAUUACUGGGCGUAAAGCGUGCGCAGGCGGUUAUGUAAGACAGUUGUGAAAUCCCCGGGCUCAACCUGGGAACUGCAUCUGUGACUGCAUAGCUAGAGUACGGUAGAGGGGGAUGGAAUUCCGCGUGUAGCAGUGAAAUGCGUAGAUAUGCGGAGGAACACCGAUGGCGAAGGCAAUCCCCUGGACCUGUACUGACGCUCAUGCACGAAAGCGUGGGGAGCAAACAGGAUUAGAUACCCUGGUAGUCCACGCCCUAAACGAUGUCAACUGGUUGUUGGGUCUUCACUGACUCAGUAACGAACUAACGCGUGAAGUUGACCGCCUGG